rnacentral:rRNA from 1 species
CUGUGUCCCGCGCGGCCGGUUCACCGCAUGCCGGUGUUAAACUGGCGCGUUAGCGGGACUCCUGUCGGUGGCGGUUCCGGGGCGGUGCUGGUCGUAGGUGCGUCCUAGCGAUGUUCCGAAAGCCGGCCGCCGUUUUCGGGAUCGCCUACUAUCCUGUCGCGGUGCUCUUGAACGAGCGUCGAGGCGGGCCGGCACGUUUACUUUGAGCAAAAUAGAGUGCUUCUUUCAGGCAUGUUCGCCUGUAUAUUGUGCAUGGAAUAAUGGAAUAGGACCUCGGUUCUAUUUUGUUGGUUUUCGGAGCCAGAGGAAAUGAUCAAUGGAGACGGACGGGGGCAUCCGUAUUGCGACGUUAGAGGUGAAAUUCUUGGAUCGUCGCAAGACGGACUUAAGCGAAAGCAUUUGCCAAGUACGCUCUCGUCGAUCAAGAACGAAAGUUAGAGGUUCGAAGGCGAUCAGAUACCGCCCUAGUUCUAACCAUAAACUAUGCCUGCCAGCGAUCCGCCGGUGUUCCUCCGAUGAGCCGGCGGGCAGCUUCCGGGAAACCAGAGCCUUCAGGUUCCGGGGGAAGUAUGGUCGCAAGUCUGAAACUUAAAGGAAUUGACGGAAGGGCACCACCAGGAGUGGAGCCUGCGGCUUAAUUUGACUCAACACGGGAAAACUCACCAGGCCCGGACAUCGUAAGGAUUGACAGAUUGACUAGCUCUUUCUUGAUUCGGUGGGUGGUGGUGCAUGGCCGUUCUUAGUUGGUGGAACGAUUUGUCUGGUUAAUUCCGAUAACGAACGAGACUCUAGCCUGCUAAAUAGGCGAUUCCGGUAUCCACAAUCGUGCUACCGGCGAUCAAUAAUCUUCUUAGAGGGACCAGCGGCUCCCAGCCGCACUAAACGGAGCAAUAACAGGUCUGUGAUGCCCUUAGAUGUCCUGGGCCGCACGCGCGCUACACUGAAGCAAUCAACGUGUCCGCCCUGUCCGAGAGGACCGGGUAACCCGYGGAAACUUCUUUGUGAUUGGGAUUGGGGUUUGUAACUAUUCCCCAUGAACGAGGAAUUCCCAGUAAGCGCGAGUCAUAAGCUCGAGUUGAUUGCGUCCCUGCCCUUUGUACACACCGCCCGUCGCUACUACCGAUUGAAUGAUUUAGUGAGGUCUUCGGACCGGCGCGCGGAGUCGGUCACCCGGCCGCUUCCGACGUCUCCGGAAAGAUGACCGAACUUGAUCAUU